GACCAGGUCAGCUUACUCCUGAGCUGGACGCCGUCUCAGAGCGAAGAUGGAGAGAGCCAACCCAUCUGCUUCAUCGUCCAAGCACUUUCCAAUUCAACAUCAGCAAAGUAUCACUCUGAGCUGCGAUGUGUCAUCGUAACUGUUGGAAACGAUCCAUCACCAACAGCUGAACCAACAGAGGGACAAAUUGUCAUUCGCUUGACG